rnacentral:tRNA from 1 species
CACUUUGUCUGGCCGGCUUGGGAGCGUGCGGCGCUCUGUUCGCCGUGGGAAGCAGUGGUCUGUUCAAUUCUGAUGCGUUGUGG